CGCUUGUCGGCCAAGCACGCACCGACGAAUUCCGCCGCUACCUGCGCAUGUCGGCCGGCGGCUUCCGGGCCGGGAUGGUCAGCCUGAUGCGCUACAGUUUCCGGAAGAAGUACUGAAGGCGGACCUUCAACUGAACCGGACGCUGAUACUGCCGAGCGGAAUACCCGAGACCGUUGUGGUCCACGUCUCACCCGGCUUGAUCGGCAGCGCGCGCG
rnacentral:misc_RNA from 1 species